AACCAGCUCUUCAAGUGGUCGGGAUAAUUAUUGGGCUUAAAGUGUCCGUAGCCGGUUUAGUAAGUUCCUGGUAAAAUCGGGUAGCUUAACUAUCUAUAUGCUAGGAAUACUGCUAUACUAGAGGGCGGGAGAGGUCUGAGGUACUACAGGGGUAGGGGUGAAAUCUUAUAAUCCUUGUAGGACCACCAGUGGCGAAGGCGUCAGACUGGAACGCGCCUGACGGUGAGGGACGAAAGCCAGGGGAGCGAACCGGAUUAGAUACCCGGGUAGUCCUGGCUGUAAACGAUGCAUACUAGGUGAUGGCACGGCCAUGAGCCGUGUCAGUGCCGUAGGGAAACCGUUAAGUGUGCCGCCUGGGAAGUACGGUCGCAAGGCUAAAACUUAAAGGAAUUGGCGGGGGAGCACCACAAGGGGUGAAGCCUGCGGUUC
rnacentral:rRNA from 1 species